ensembl:snRNA U6 U6 spliceosomal RNA
GUACUCGCUUCUGCAACACAUAUACUAAAAUGGGAAUGAUACAGAGAAGAUGAGCAUGGCUCCUGUACAAGGAUGACAUGCAAAUUCGUGAAGCAUUCCAUAUUUUU